rnacentral:lncRNA from 1 species
UAUGCGUCAAAUCACAUUGGAAAAUAAAAAUAAUUAAUUUCGGAAUAUUUUGACUUUUCAAACCAUUAUUAAUUUUGGAUAAAACUUCGAAAUACCGUCAUAUGUCGAACAGGAAAGAUUUAAAAAUUUAGGUUAAGUACUUUAACCAAUUACAAACUACACUUUAUGAGGAAUUAAGCUUUCUGAAAACAGCAAUGGGAUUAAAGAGAAUUUAGGAUUACAGAAAAUGGAUUAUAAGGACAGUUUGUAAGAGGACGUAUUUAUACCUGGGUCUUCUCUUCAGCAUCCUGGGCAUAGAUGGGGGCCACUAAGGCGAUGAUAGCAAGAACAAUCUGGAUAUCAGUGGAAAAUAUUGUGUAGUACUUCUACAAGAUUCUCUGAUUAGGAUGACGUAUAAGUUUUUGGUGUUAGAUAGAAAUUGUGUAAUUUUUAAAGUAUUGCUUUGUCUUCAAGUUUUGAGAUUCUCAAAUUUAAUUCCCAACAAUUGCAAACUUACAAGUUCUUAAGUAUUCUUCAGAUAUUCAAAUCUUCAAGUACCUACAUAUGCAAAUUCUCUAUUCUCAAAUUCAAUUCCUAAAAAUUGCAAAUUUAUAAGUUCUUAAAUAUCUGAAUCUUCAAGUACCCAAAUAUCCAAAUUCUCUGUUCUCAAAUUUAAUUCUCAAAAAUUGCAAAUGUACAACUUCCUAAAUUUCUC